UGCGUAGGGUGCGAGCGUUAAUCGGAAUUACUGGGCGUAAAGCGUGCGCAGGCGGUUUGGUAAGACAGAUGUGAAAUCCCCGGGCUUGACCUGGGAACUGCAUUUGUGACUGCCAGACUAGAGUGUAGCAGAGGGGGGUAGAAUUCCACGUGUAGCAGUGAAAUGCGUAGAGAUGUGGAGGAAUACCGAUGGCGAAGGCAGCCCCCUGGGCUAACACUGACGCUCAUGCACGAAAGCGUGGGGAGCAAACAGGAUUAGAUACCCUGGUAGUCCACGCCCUAAACGAUGUCAACUAGGUGUUGGGGAAGGAGACUUCUUUAGUACCGCAGCUAACGCGUGAAGUUGACCGCCUGGGGAGUACGGUCGCAAGAUUAAAACUCAAAGGAAUUGACGGGGACCCGCACAAGCGGUGGAUUAUGUGGAUUAAUUCGAUGCAACGCGAAAAACCUUACCUACCCUUGACAUGUCAGGAAGAUUCCAGAGAUGGGAUUGUGCCCGAAAGGGAACCUGAACACAGGUGCUGCAUGGCUGUCGUCAGCUCGUGUCGUGAGAUAUUGGGUUAAGUCCCGCAACGAGCGCAACCCUUGUCAUUAAUUGCCAUCAUUUAGUUGGGCACUUUAAUGAGACUGCCAGUGAUAAACCGGAGGAAGGUGGGGAUGACGUCAAGUCCUCAUGGCCCUUAUGGGUAGGGCUUCACACGUAAUACAAUGGUCGGUACAGAGGGUUGCCAACCCGCGAGGGGGAGCUAAUCUCAGAAAGCCGAUCGUAGUCCGGAUCGGAGUCUGCAACUCGACUCCGUGAAGUCGGAAUCGCUAGUAAUCGCGGAUCAGCAUGUCGCGGUGAAUACGUUCCCGGGUCU
rnacentral:rRNA from 1 species